GAUGAACGCUGGCGGCGUGCCUAAGGCAUGCAAGUCGAACGGUUUUCCUCGCAAGGGGAGCGGCAGACGGGUGAGUAACGCGUGGGAAUCUACCGAGCCCUAAGGAAUAGCUCCGGGAAACUGGAAUUAAUACCUUAUACGCCCUUCGGGGGAAAGAUUUAUCGGGGUUUGAUGAGCCCGCGUUGGAUUAGCUAGUUGGUGGGGUAAAGGCCUACCAAGGCGACGAUCCAUAGCUGGUCUGAGAGGAUGAUCAGCCACAUUGGGACUGAGACACGGCCCAAACUCCUACGGGAGGCAGCAGUGGGGAAUAUUGGACAAUGGGCGCAAGCCUGAUCCAGCCAUGCCGCGUGAGUGAUGAAGGCCCUAGGGUUGUAAAGCUCUUUCACCGGUGAAGAUAAUGACGGUAACCGGAGAAGAAGCCCCGGCUAACUUCGUGCCAGCCGCCGCUGUAACAC
rnacentral:rRNA from 1 species